AAAUAGCCUAAUGGUUAGAGCAUCUGUCUCAAAUGCGAGAGGUCACAGGUUUGAUCCCUGGUAGAGUCA